UAAAGCGCACGCAGGCGGUCUGUCAAGUCGGAUGUGAAAUCCCCGGGCUUAACCUGGGAACUGCAUUCGAAACUGGCAGGCUAGAGUCUUGUAGAGGGGGGUAGAAUUCCAGGUGUAGCGGUGAAAUGCGUAGAGAUCUGGAGGAAUACCGGUGGCGAAGGCGGCCCCCUGGACAAAGACUGACGCUCAGGUGCGAAAGCGUGGGGAGCAAACAGGAUUAGAUACCCUGGUAGUCCACGCCGUAAACGAUGUCGAUUUGGAGGUUGUGCCCUUGAGGCGUGGCUUCCGGAGCUAACGCGUUAAAUCGACCGCCUGGGGAGUACGGCCGCAAGGUUAAAACUCAAAUGAAUUGACGGGGGCCCGCACAAGCGGUGGAGCAUGUGGUUUAAUUCGAUGCAACGCGAAGAACCUUACC
rnacentral:rRNA from 1 species